rnacentral:rRNA from 1 species
GAAUAUUGCGCAAUGGGGGGAACCCUGACGCAGCAACGCCGCGUGAGUGAAGAAGGUCUUCGGAUCGUAAAACUCUGUCAUAGGGGAAGAAGGAAGUGACGGUACCCUAUGAGGAAGCCCCGGCUAACUACGUGCCAGCAGCCGCGGUAAUACGUAGGGGGCGAGCGUUGUCCGGAAUUACUGGGCGUAAAGGGUGCGUAGGCGGCCGAUUAAGUCAGAUGUGAAAUACCAUGGCUCAACCAUGGGGGUGCAUUUGAAACUGGUUGGCUUGAGUGCAGGAGAGGAAAGCGGAAUUCCUAGUGUAGCGGUGAAAUGCGUAGAGAUUAGGAGGAACACCAGUGGCGAAGGCGGUUUUCUGGACUGUAACUGACGCUGAGGCACGAAAGCGUGGGGAGCAAACA